rnacentral:rRNA from 1 species
AUUGAACGCUGGCGGCAUGGAUUAGGCAUGCAAGUCGCGCGAUAAAUUGCCUUCGGGUGAUGGAAAGCGGCGAAAGGGAGAGUAACACGCGGGUACCUACCCUCAGGACCGGGAUAGCUGCGGGAAACUGCAAUUAAUACCGGAUGAUGUCUCCGGAUCAAAGGUGUGAUUCCGCCGGAGGAGGGGCCCACGUCCUAUCAGCUAGUUGGCGAGGUAAUAGCGCACCAAGGCUACGACGGGUACGGGGUGUGAGAGCAUGCCCCCGCUCACUGGGACUGAGAUACUGCCCAGACACCUACGGGUGGCUGCAGUCGAGAAUCUUCCGCAAUGGGCGAAAGCCUGACGGAGCGACGCCGCGUGCGGGAUGAAGGCCUUCGGGUUGUAAACCGCUGUCAGUGGGGAGGAAAUGCACGGGGGUUCUCCCUCGUGUUUGACCGAUCCGCAGAGGAAGCACAGGCUAAGUUCGUGCCAGCAGCCGCCGUAAAAC